rnacentral:rRNA from 1 species
UACGGGGGGGGCAAGCGUUGUUCGGAAUUACUGGGCGUAAAGGGCUCGUAGGUGGCCAACUAAGUCGGACGUGAAACCCCUCAGCUUAACUGGGGAACUGCGUCCGAUACUGGAUGGCUUGAGUUCGGUAGGGGAGACUGGAAUUCCUGGUGUAGCGGUGAAAUGCGCAGAUAUCAGGAGGAACACCGGUGGCGAAGGCGGGUCUCUGGGCCGAUACUGACGCUGAGGAGCGAAAGCGUGGGGAGCGAACAGG